GUCAAGUUUGGACACACCUACUCAUUCCAGGGUUUCUUUAUUUUUACUAUUUUCUACAAUAAUAGUGAAGACAUCAAAACUAUGAAAUAACACAUGGAAUCAUGUCCAACCAAAAUAUUUUAUUUUUGAGAUUCUUCAAAGUAGCCCCCUUUGCCUUGAUGACAGCUUUGCACGCUAUUGGAAUUCUCUCAACCAGCUCCGAGGUAGUCACCUGCAAUGUAUUUCAAUUAACAGGUGUGCCUAAAAGUUCAUUUGUGGAAUUUCUUUACUUCUUAAUGCGUUUGAGCCAAUCAGUUGUGUUGUGUCAAGGUAGGGGUGGUAUGCAGAAGAUGAUCUUUUACCAAAUAGGACUAAGUCCAUAUUAUGGCAAGAACAGCUCAAAUAAGGACAGAGAAAUUACAGUCCAUCAUUACUUUAAGACAUGAAGGUCAGUCAAUCUGGAAAAUUUCAAGAACUUAAUGUUUUUCUUUGAGUAGGUGUCAACUUUUGACUGGUACUGUAUGUUUCCAAUAUGUAAUUUAUAAAUAAUACAAAACAUAUGACUACAUCAUACAAACAUUACUCCUGCCCACUAGCCCCCACCCCUAUCACCCUUAUCAUGUUCUGCCACAUGGCCUCAAACUACAUGAUUUUGUUUCUUUGUCGCCUACACACUUUCAAAUUUGAGGUAAUAAAGCAUUUGAACUUUCCAUUGGGUGAACGACAGAGUAUUGGCUGAUUUUCAGUUUGAGUAUUGGGUGGGACCCCUUACCUUUUCCCACAUUUUGUUACAUUACAGCUUUAUUCUAAAAUCAAUUCAAUAGUUUUUUCCCCCUCGUCAAUCUAUACAGAACACCCUAUAAUAAAAAAGCAAAAACAGGUUUUUAGACAUUUUUAAAAUAAGAAAGAUCGCAUUUACAAGUAUUCAGACCCUUUACUCGGUACUUUGAAGCAGUGAUUACAGCUGAGUAUUCUUGUAUGAUGCUACAAGCUAGGCACACCUGUAUUUGUUUGGCACACCUGUAUUUGGGGAGUUUCUCCCAUUUCUUCUCUGCAGAUCCACUCGAGCUCUGUCAGGUUGGAUGGGGCACGUUGCUGCACAGCUAUAUUAAGGCCUCUUCAGAGAUGUUCAAGUCCGGGCUCUGGCUGGGCCACUCAAGGACACUCCGAGACUUGUCCUGAAGCCACUCCUGCAUUGUCUUGGUGGUGUGCUUUGGGUUGUUGUCCUGUUGGAAGGUGUACCUUCGCCCCAGUCUGAGGUCCUGAGCACUCUGGAGGAGGCUUUCAUCAAGGAUCUCUGUACUUGGCUCUGUUCAUUUUUCCCUCGAUCCUGACUAGUCUCCCAGUUCCUGCCGCUGAAAAACAUCCCCUCAGCAUGAUGCUGCUACCACCAUGCUUCACUAUAGGGAGGGUUCUAGGUUUCUUCCUGACGUGAUGCUUGGCAUUCAACCCAACGAGUUCAAACUUGGUUUCAUCACACCAUAGAUUCUUGUUUCUCAUGGUCUGAGUCCUUUAGGUGCCUUUUGACAAACUCCAAGUGGGCUGUCAUGAGCAUUUUACUGAGAAGUGGCUUCCGUCUGGCCACUCUACCAUAAAGGCAAGAUUGGUGGAGUGCUGCAGAGAUGGUUGUCCUUCUGGAAGGUUCUCCCAUCUCCACAGAGGAACUCUGUUGGUCUGUCAGUGACCAUCGGGUUCUUUGUCACCUCCCUGAGUAAGAGCAUUGAAGAUGGGUCGUGGCUGGGUCUUCCAGCAUGACGACGACCCGAAACACACAGCCAAGGCAACUAAGGAGUGGCUCCAUAAGAAGCAUCUCAAGGUCCUGGAGUGACCGAGACCGUCUCCAGACCUGAACCCAAUAGAAAAUCUUUGGAGGGAGCUGAAAGUCCGUAUUGCCCAGUGACAGCCCCGAAACCUGAAGGAUCUGGAGAUGGUCUGUAUGGAGGAGUGGGCCAAAAUCCCUGCUGCAGUGUGUGCAAACCUGGUCAAGAACUACAGGAAACGUAUGAUCUCUGUAAUUGCAAACAAAGGUUUCUGUACCAAAUAUUAAAUUCUGCUUUUCUGAUGUAUCAAAUACUUAUGUCAUGCAAUAAAAUGCAAAUAAAUUAC
ensembl:lncRNA